AUUGAACGCUGGCGGCAUGCUUUACACAUGCAAGUCGAACGGGGUGAGGGGGCAACUCCUCAUUCAGUGGCGAACGGGUGAGUAAUGCAUCGGAACGUGUCCCGUAGUGGGGGAUAACGCCGGGAAACCGGCGCUAAUACCGCAUAUGCUCUACGGAGGAAAGUGGGGGACCGCAAGGCCUCACGCUAUGGGAGCGGCCGAUGUCCGAUUAGCUUGUUGGCGGGUAAAGGCCCACCAAGGCGACGAUCGGUAGCUGGUCUGAGAGGAUGAUCAGCCACACUGGGACUGAGACACGGCCCAGACUCCUACGGGAGGCUG
rnacentral:rRNA from 1 species